rnacentral:rRNA from 1 species
UAGCUAGUUGGUGAGGUAAAGGCUUACCAAGGCGACGAUCUGUAGCGGGUCUGAGAGGAUGAUCCGCCACACUGGAACUGAGACACGGUCCAGACCCCUACGGGAGGCAGCAGUGGGGAAUUUUGGACAAUGGGGGCAACCCUGAUCCAGCCAUGCCGCGUGAGUGAAGAAGGCCUUCGGGUUGUAAAGCUCUUUCGGCCGGGAAGAAAUCGCAUGGGCCAAUACCCUGUGUGGAUGACGGUACCGGAAUAAGAAGCACCGGCUAACUACGUGCCAGCAGCCGCGGUAAUACGUAGGGUGCGAGCGUUAAUCGGAAUUACUGGGCGUAAAGCGUGCGCAGGCGGUUUUGUAAGACAGGCGUGAAAUCCCCGGGCUUAACCUGGGAACUGCGUUUGUGACUGCAAGGCUAGAGUACGGCAGAGGGGGGUGGAAUUCCACGUGUAGCAGUGAAAUGCGUAGAGAUGUGGAGGAACACCAAUGGCGAAGGCAGCCCCCUGGGUCGAUACUGACGCUCAUGCACGAAAGCGUGGGUAGCAAACAGGAUUAGAUACCCUGGUAGUCCACGCCCUAAACUAUGUCAACUAGGUGUUGGGUGGGUAAAACCAUUUAGUACCGUAGCUAACGCGUGAAGUUGACCGCCUGGGGAGUACGGCCGCAAGGUUAAAACUCAAAGGAAUUGACGGGGACCCGCACAAGCGGUGGAUGAUGUGGAUUAAUUCGAUGCAACGCGAAAAACCUUACCUACCCUUGACAUGCCAGGAACUUGCCAGAGAUGGCUUGGUGCCCGAAAGGGAGCCUGGACACAGGUGCUGCAUGGCUGUCGUCAGCUCGUGUCGUGAGAUGUUGGGUUAAGUCCCGCAACGAGCGCAACCCUUGUCGUUAAUUGCCAUCAUUUAGUUGGGCACUUUAACGAGACUGCCGGUGACAAACCGGAGGAAGGUGGGGAUGACGUCAAGUCCUCAUGGCCCUUAUGGGUAGGGCUUCACACGUCAUACAAUGGUCGGUACAAAGGGUUGCCAAGCCGCGAGGCGGAGCCAAUCCCAGAAAGCCGAUCGUAGUCCGGAUUGCAGGCUGCAACUCGCCUGCAUGAAGUCGGAAUCGCUAGUAAUCGUGGAUCAGCAUGUCACGGUGAAUACGUUCCCGGGUCUUGUACACACCGCCCGUCACACCAUGGGAGCGGGUUCCGCCAGAAGUAGGUAGCCUAACCGCAAGGGGGGCGCUUACCACGGCGGGGUUCGUGACUGGGGUGAAGUCGUAACAAGGUAGCCGUAGGGGAACCUGCGGCUG